rnacentral:rRNA from 1 species
GUGUCAGCAGCCGCGGUAAUACGUAGGGCGCAAGCGUUGUCCGGAAUUAUUGGGCGUAAAGAGCUCGUAGGCGGUUUGUCACGUCUGCUGUGAAAUCCCGAGGCUCAACCUCGGGCCUGCAGUGGGUACGGGCAGACUAGAGUGUGGUAGGGGAGACUGGAAUUCCUGGUGUAGCGGUGGAAUGCGCAGAUAUCAGGAGGAACACCAAUGGCGAAGGCAGGUCUCUGGGCCACAACUGACGCUGAGGAGCGAAAGCAUGGGUAGCGAACAGGAUUAGAAACCCGAGUAGUCC